AUGAACGCUAGCGGCAGGCCUAAUACAUGCAAGUCGGACGGGAUAGGAGAGCUUGCUUUCCUUGAGAGUGGCGCACGGGUGCGUAACACGUAUGUAACCUACCUUCGUCAGGGGGAUAGCCUCUCGAAAGAGAGAUUAAGACCGCAUAACAUAAUUGAAUGGCAUCAUUUAAUUAUCAAAUAUUUAUAGGACGAAGAUGGGCAUGCGGAACAUUAGCUAGUUGGUGUGGUAACGGCAUACCAAGGCUACGAUGUUUAGGGGAUCUGAGAGGAUGACCCCCCACACUGGUACUGAGACACGGACCAGACUCCUACGGGAGGCAGCAGUAAGGAAUAUUGGUCAAUGGACGGAAGUCUGAACCAGCCAUGCCGCGUGCAGGAAGACGGCCCUACGGGUUGUAAACUGCUUUUGCAGGGGAAUAAACCUUCGUAUGUAUACGAAGCUGAAUGUACUUCUGAGAAUAAGGAUCGGCUAACUCCGUGCCAGCAGCCGCGGUAAUACGGAGGAUCCAAGCGUUAUCCGGAUUUAUUGGGUUUAAAGGGUGCGUAGGUGGUUUAUUAAGUCAGGGGUGAAAGACGGCAGCUUAACUGUCGCAGUGCCUUUGAUACUGAUGAACUUGAAUGAACUAGAGGUAGGCGGAAUGUGACAAGUAGCGGUGAAAUGCGUAGAUAUGUCACAGAACACCAAUUGCGAAGGCAGCUUACUAUGGUUUUAUUGACACUGAGGCACGAAAGCGUGGGGAUCAAACAGGAUUAGAUACCCUGGUAGUCCACGCCCUAAACGAUGAAUACUCGAUGUUGGCGAUAUACGGUCAGCGUCUAAGCGAAAGCGUUAAGUAUUCCACCUGGGGAGUACGCCCGCAAGGGUGAAACUCAAAGGAAUUGACGGGGGCCCGCACAAGCGGAGGAGCAUGUGGUUUAAUUCGAUGAUACGCGAGGAACCUUACCCGGGCUUGAAAGUUAGUGAAUGGAGCAGAGACGCUCCAGUCCUUCGGGACACGAAACUAGGUGCUGCAUGGCUGUCGUCAGCUCGUGCCGUGAGGUGUUGGGUUAAGUCCCGCAACGAGCGCAACCCCUAUGUUUAGUUGCCAGCAUGUAAAGGUGGGGACUCUAAACAGACUGCCUAUGCAAAUAGAGAGGAAGGAGGGGACGACGUCAAGUCAUCAUGGCCCUUACGUCCGGGGCUACACACGUGCUACAAUGGGCAGUACAGAGGGCAGCUACCUGGUAACAGGAUGCCAAUCUCCAAAGCUGUUCACAGUUCGGAUCGGGGUCUGCAACUCGACCCCGUGAAGUUGGAUUCGCUAGUAAUCGCGUAUCAGCAAUGACGCGGUGAAUACGUUCCCGGGCCUUGUACACACCGCCCGUCAAGCCAUGGAAGCUGGAAGUACCUGAAGUCGGUAACCGCAAGGAGCCGCCUAGGGUAAAGUCGGUAACUGGGGCU
rnacentral:rRNA from 1 species